CCUCUCCUCAUCCAACCAAGUCGCCAGACGACUCAUUCUUUGCCUGGGAUCUGUAAGGAAGUGUGGACUGGGAGUGCCAAAGGAACUGCAGCAGGUGCAUGGCCCAUUAGAAUGAAAAGAAAGAAAAAGCUACAUUCUCUUUCUGGACGAAAAAUACUGCUUAUAAAAGAGGGCAAAGGGGAAUUCUUCUGAAGUGAAAGUCUCGGGACCUUCUCAUUCUUUUUCAAAUGACUUCGAGGAAAAAGAUAAAAGGGUAGCAAUUAGAGAAAUUGAGGGAAGGAACCUGAAUGGAAUGCAAAAAGAAGGUCAAGUUGAUGAUGUGUGAUAAAGGAACACUGAAUCCAAAAAAAGAAAAUCAAUAUUCCCUGUGCACUCACUAAAGUCUUCCCUUCCAGUGAUAUAAUGAAAGUAAACACAUGCUGGGUAAGAGAGGACUAUUGCUUGGACCCAACAUGGCCAUCAAAACUUGUUCAAAUAGC